rnacentral:lncRNA from 14 species
AUGGGACAGGAGGGACCCCAGCCUGCCCCGGGGGCUGCGCUCAGCACUGGUCCUGCGCUGCUGCCCCUCAACUCCAGCAUCACAACGGACCCCCCUGCCACCCCCGGCACAGGACUGCUGCCUGAGGAGGACAUCGGGUCCCCGCAGCGGGUCCGGGGCGCCCUGGGAGCCGUGAGCAUCCCCAAUGCCACCGAGGCCGCCCCACAGCCGACAGCACCUCCCACCGCAGGGACAAACAGCACCAGGCACUCAGGCUUCCCAGGGACAAAGCCUCCUGCCCAUGGCACCACAUCCCCUUCGGUCACACCAUGGCGGGCAGCAGUGACACCACAACCAGCGCCCCGGCACCCAUCCACAUCACAUCCACCACAGCCACCACCGCCACCACAACCAUCACAGCCGAGCCACCCUUCUCCAUCACCGGGGUCCAACGUGACGGGUCUGCGCUGGGACGAGCUGCAGCACCAGCUGGGCUUCACCUGGGAGACCCACAUCUAUGGGGCAGCCGUCAUCUUCCUGCUGCUGGCGCUGGGCUGCGUGGUGGGGCUGGCCUGGGCGGCUGCUCUGCGCCCCCCAACCUGCCCCACAUUCUAGGGGCUCACGGGCUGCUGCUGUGCGCCUGCCUGCUGCGGGCCACCUUCCUGCUGCUGGACCCGUACGGGGCACGGCACCGGCUGCCCCCGCGGGCGCUGCUGCUGCUCAGCACCGUCCCCUUCCCGCUGAUGCUCGGCGCCUUCGCCCUCCUCCUGCAGCGCCUGCAGCGCCUGGCGCAGCUGCGGCUGCUGCCGCCGUGUCUGCGGGGGCUGCCGGCGCUGGGGGCCGCGGCUGCGCUGCAGAGCGCGGUGCUGGGGGCCGCG